rnacentral:rRNA from 1 species
GAUGAACGCUGGCGGCGUGCCUAAUACAUGCAAGUCGAGCGAACGGACGAGAAGCUUGCUUCUCUGAUGUUAGCGGCGGACGGGUGAGUAACACGUGGAUACCCUACCUAUAAGACUGGGAUAACUUCGGGAAACCGGAGCUUAUACCGGAUAAUAUUUUGAACCGCAUGGUUCAAAAGUAAAAGACGGCCUUGCUGUCUCUUAUCGCUGGAUCCGCGCUGCAUUAGCUAGUUGGUAAGGUAACGGCUUACCAAGGCAACGAUGCAUAGCCGACCUGAGAGGGUGAUCGGCCGCACGGGAACGUAGACACGGUCCAUACUCCUACGGGAGGCAGCAGUAGGGAAUCUGCCGCAAUGGGCGAAAGCCUUACGGAGCAACGCCGCGUGUGUGAUGAAGGUCUUCGGAUCGUAAUACUCUGUUAUGAGGUAAGAACAGAUGUGUAAGGAACUGUGCACAGCUUGACGGUACCUAAUCAGAAAGCCACGGCUAACUACGUG